UGCUCACAAUUAAUCCUGACUACACACGAGCUUCUCUCCCUGGCCAAGACACAAUCAUAGUAUGAUGAAGAACAUGGCACUAGCCGGCAAUGGUAUGAAGAACUUAAUCCUCGCUGUUCUCUUACUGUGUCUAGUUAUAGGGCAGAUACAAGUGGAAGCUAAGAGCUGCUGCCCAUCCAUUACUGCAAGAAAUAUCUACAAUGCCUGCCGUAUCACGGGUACAUCCCGUCCAACGUGUGCAAAACUGUCAGGCUGCAAAAUUAUCAGCGGGGACAAAUGCAAGCCCCCUAACGACCACCUCACCCUUGACCCGGACACUGGUAAAUAAUAAAUUUAUCUCACUUGAUUUCUUCGUGUUUUGAGUCGUUAAUGUAUUUUCCAUCUGAUGAAACGUAUUGGUUUUGCAUUGAAGAGGAAGUUAAUGUGCUUAACUUCUGCAAGUUGGGGUGUGCGUCGUCUGUGUGCAACAACAUCAACGCUGGUAAGCACCUUUUGCUCAGACGGAGAAAACAAUAAUCAUUAAUUAGCGGCAGCUAGAAUCCUAUAAUCUAAUAUAUUUAUAUAUAUAUAUAAUUUUAUCAGCUCUGGGAAAUGAAGAGGCGAACGAUGCCGUUGAGAGUUGCGACCAAGCCUGCUCUAGCUUCUGCAACGUGCACGUUGGCGCUGCCACCGUGGUUGCUUAAGCAAAUGCAUCCAACUGGAUCGUCCUUGUGCUAAAUAAUUGGAUAUCGUAUCCACUUAAAGCUGCCUUGUGUAGUACGUUUUUGUUUGUGUCUCUCUUUAUAUUCCAAUAAGGUCGGUGAUCUUGAUGCCACACACUCAGACGUGUGUUCAUCUCCAGAUACUACUCCAUGCUACCUGCCCUUUGUGUUUUGUUCAAUAACUGGGUAUCAUAUCCCAGCCAGUGUGCCAUCUGUUUUGUGUUUAUUUCCUUCUAGUUUCAAAGGGGUUAUCAUGAUGUUACCUUCUUUCGAUAUGGUGCUUUGCAUGACUACUGUUGUAUGGUACCAUCUUGUUGGCCAAUAAAUACAUCUUAUCCUAUGACCCUUUGCUAUGACCCUUUGCAAAUAAGUACAAGAUUGUUAAAUACUCGGUAUAAAUUGACUACUGCUGUGAGUUCCCUUUCAGCUUAUCGUAGGCAUACAUUAUUGCUAGCACGGUGAAGACAACCAACACGAAUGGUCAAGUAAACGUACCGGUACUUUUGUAUACCAACACCCUUGCUUAAAUGUACCGGUGUUACUCCCCACUAGCACAUAUAUUCUUAUAUGCUAGCCGGCUUGAAAAUUAACCGAUUAAAAUAAUUAUUUCAAGACAGAAAUAACUUAUCGGCUUCUCGAAGCAUGUGUAAUGUGAAUUCAAGGACUUGAUGGAAGUUGAAUCGCUUAAUCUAGAUUGCUUUCAGGAUUUUGGGUAACUAAAUUUAACAUUUGCACAUACAAAUGUUAAUGUACAAAUAUUAAAUAUAGUUACCCAAGCAGAAUAUGAAGAUACUCUAUAGUAUAUAUAUACUAUAUAAAUCUAGUUAACAUUUAGUCUAAAUGUUAAAUCUAGUUACCUAAAAUCCUGAAAGCAAAAUGUAUAAAUAUAUAUCUUUUAAGGAAUCCCAAAGCAAGAGUUCAGUGGCAUUCUAUAGUCCCAUGCUGCUAGUUUGAGUUGGUCGAAGCCAACUUAAAUAGGAGAGCUCUCUCACUUCUCUAAAUACGUAACUGAAGGAGAGAAGGGGGCUUGGUUACACAACGCACGCACGCACGCAUAUUUGCGUUCUUUUCGCGUAACCAACCGCGUGACUUGAAACUUGCGACGUAGCGUGCUGCCAAGUCAAGUUGAUAUAACCUUUUUGCCGUAGGCGUGUAAUCUUUUGACAACGGUCAUUGGAGGUGAUAAGCACGCAGUCAAUACCUUAAUCCUGAGUUAAUAGGGCGGUUACUACUGCCAAUUAGUGGGGCAAUUUUGUAGGGGAAACGGUUAGCAGAGGGCUACCAUCUUCUCUAUAAGAAGUUCUGGAGACGUCCAGGAACACACAUGUACAUGUGAGAGACCCACGAAUUCCUUCCCAUCUCCCUUUUCCAUCUGGUGAAGUGUGCUAUGGUACUGAGCUGCUGGAUCUCGCCGGCUCUUCUCCUUGGCGUGCACCGAGGAGGAGGGUGAGCGGUAUCUCCGAGCUAUUGCCGUCAGGAAGCCUGCACGAGGGACAACAAUAAAGUUUUUGGGUAGCGCAACUACGCAACCGCUCGAUUCGAUCGACUAUGUUCUGCGCUGCCUCAUCUUCGAUCUGCACUGCAACACGUAACCCUGCAGCAAGUCUACACAAGGACGGAGCACUAAUCUGUAAGUCCUAGAUUGGUUUCUUACAGAGUUGUAGGUUACACAAGAUCUAGAAUUGUUACAUACUUAUUAUUAUGGGUUACAUGAUGUUUUGUACGGUUACGUCUAUUUUGCAUAUGCUAUUUUUACAUACCGUUUACAUGCAUAUGUAAUGGUUACGCCUAGCUAUUUGAAUCUAGAAUUGGGUUACAUAGCAGUAGCAAUGACUUACGUAAUAUGCCUCAUGUUUAUAUCUGGUAGAAUUUAACACGUAUCUCCAACAUAUUUUGAGGCAGUAUAAAUUUCAAUUCCUUUUGCUGCUCUGUUAAAUCCCGUCUUUCGUGUGGCCCAACACUCUAGUAUGCAUGUAGCACCAAGCUUGUUUGAGCCGCUUUGUGCUCUGAUUUUGCUGUCUGUAUCAGGUUGGACUGUUUCUUUGUCUUGCGAUGUAUAGCUUCAUAUCUUCUAGAGGUUAGACAGCAAAACCCGCGUUCUCUUAAGGCAACAACUCGAAGAAUCUGCAGCGCUCCUGAUAUAUCACUGCUGCAGAAACAAUCUUUAGUACUGAUUUCCAACCCCCUUUAGUAUCGGUUUGGCAAUCAGUACCACUACGUCGGUACUAAAGGGAGUUCUCUAGAAUCGGGUCAAAUAACUGGUACUAAAAGUGCUCCUCUACUACCAGUUGGUAACACCAAUAGGUAGUAACUUUUUUUGCACCCAAAAAAUUAAAGAAAAACAGCCGGGAGGCUCGCGCACACACGCAUCAUGAGUAAUAUGCGCGUGCAUGGUUUGUGGGAUUCCAACCCACGACCAAGCUAUAAGCACGUAGUUACAAAAAAAUUAAACACUUAGACAUUUUAGAGCAUCCCAAAUAACUACAAAUUCUUUAGUUUACCAUAUACCAUAAAAUAUUAGUUAAAAUAAGAGCAUACGCACGUCGGAAGAGUCCCAAUGCACCGGUUGAGGAUCAGACCAGGCACUUUGAAUGCACAUGCCAUAAGAUAAUUCUGCAGGACGAUGAUUGCAAUAAUGGACCAUCGAGAAGAUAGGGGCGAUGGGGUUGCCUCAUCAAUUAUGACUUGGCGCAACAAGACCAGCAAAGUCUUUAUCGACAGGGGUGGAUCAAGGGGUGGGGCGGGUAGAGCUCCAAUCUUCCUACCGCCGCUCGAACAAUGGAGCCCCCCUUAGCCCCUCCAUAAAUUUUUAGGUAGAAGAAAAAAGAAGAGAAGGGAAGGAAGGGGAAGAAUAGGGAGCCCCUCCUAAGUAGGUCGCCAUCGUGCUUCCCAACGCAUGAUCGCCGCACCGCAUCCAUUCCUCUACAAGCCUCCAGCGUCUCUCCUGCCGCUACCUCUGAACCAUGUGCAGCUGCAGACCCAACUAGUGUCUUGUCACCCAUCUCAAUCCCAACAGAGCGGCGGCUCCUGCCAGCACAAAUCUCCCUCCGCCUGUUCUUCACGAUCGAUGGCCACCACAAGCAUAAACCUCGCCUUCGCAUCCACGCAAAAGGGUCGCCGGUGUGCCUUCUCGCAUCGCUUCUCAGCCUCCUUCACUUGCGGCUGGCCAAGAACCGUGCCACCACCUCGGGUGCGCGCCACCGCUCCAGGGCCGCUACCCCAUGCGUGCGGCCGCCGCCGGCCACCACGCGUGUGCAACCGUGUCGCACCGCUUCCCUGCUCUGUGCCACCACUGCUACUGCACCACCAGCUCCACCACCUUGGGCUGGUCGCCAGGGUGACUGAUUGGUGGAUUAUUACUACAAAUAAGUUCCUUAUUAUCUGCAACUACUAUUAACUCAGGGAUACAUGCGUCUUUUGCUUCUCCUGUUAAUAUGUCCUAAAAUAUCUAGAAUGCCUUAUAUUUCUGGACGGAGGAAGUAUUUGAAUAAAAUGAACCAAUUUUAAAAAAUGUGUUGUACACUACUACAGAAAGAACUAUCAGUGUCAAACCCAAAAAUGUCGUCACUGCCAGUUUUGGGCAUCGUUGGUGAAAGGUUGGCGGUGAUGGGUAUCCCCUUCAACAACGGCACUAGAGCUAACAGUGAUUGACAUUAGAAAACGAAAAAGGGGACCCACCUAGCCACCCCUGCAACCCGGCUGGCCGUGCCUCCCGUCAUCCCCACCACCUCGCCUCCCCCGUGACCCCCCGCCGGCGCCCUUGCGCCUAGCCCCCUCGCCUGCCUGGCCGGCCACCCUCGUCACGAGAGAGAGGGGUGCAUGUUGUAUAAUUGCGUGAAUUUUUAAUGUUUAAUUUCAUGUAAGUUUCAUAUAAUAAAUUGUACAAGUUUUAUUGUAUAUAUGAAUUCCAUAUAUAUAUAUUUAUAAUUUAAUGUAUGGUUUCAUGUGUAUAUUUCAAUAAUGUGUAUAUUUAGUAGAUAGCCGAUUUUCUUUUUCUACAAGACAAGGGUUGAUGUAUAAUUACGUGUAUAUGUUUAUUGUACGGGCAAUUAGGACAAGUUUUGUAUAAAUUUCUUUUAUUUCAUGGUUGUUGUAUGGUUUCAUGUAUAUACAUUUAUUGUACUACUUGAGACAAUUUUUAAUUUAAUGUUUCUAUGGUUACAUGUGUGUAUAACUAAUUGUAUUAUUAGUUAAGAUGGGAGCCAAAGAGGAUGAAAGGUAUAUAAUGGAGCAGAUUAUUGCUGGCGGUAGUGGCUCAAACGUUGCAAGAACCUACAUCAAGGGUGAGGGUAGCUAGGUGGACAUGUACCUCAACAUGUCCAGUGAUGGCAAUGACGAUGAGGAGCACGAGCAUGACGUUUAUGAUAGUGCGGAACAAGACAUUGCAGAAUUGGAAGGUUCUAAUGAGGUGUGCUUCAUGUUGAUGAUCUGGUUGGCUUUUUUUCUUUGGUCACACCUUAGUUACCAUAGAACUUCGUCUCGGGAGAAGAUUGGAGGUGCUAUGGUGAUUGGAAUUUUAUUGCCUCCAAAUAUGAUUUCCAUCGAAUCAUAUCCCUUGUAUUUAUCUUCUUUUUAUUUGUGAGAGCAUCUUCUUUAUGCUUGCAAAACAAUUCAAGUGCACAUACUACACCUAGGGUGAUGAUUAGGAGUAGAAACAAUUGCCAACAAACGAACACCACAUCCUAAGAUUCUUAACUUGUGGUAUAAUUAGUCUAGUAAAAAGAAAGAUAAAAACCUAAUGGGUGUACGUGAGUGCAAUGCGUAUAUGCAUAUGAGUGGAAGGCAUAUAAGCAAAGAUAAUAUUUACACAUAGAUCUAAGCACCAUGUUUACAACUAAGUUGCUGAAUUUCUCCAUAGCUAUAGAGAUUAAUGAACCAAGGUCAAAACACCAUGUCUAUCCCAAGAUCAGUAAUUCUUUAUAGCACAAGAAAAAGAAAGCGCAUUGCAAAGUUUAUAAACCAACCAAUGCAGCAUGAAAACAAGAUGAAUAGCUAGCAAGGUUUAUUAAACUGAAUGAUGACGGUCUGCAAGCAAGUUUGAACACCAUCUUUACACAAGAUUGCAAAUGGAAAAUUCCCAUAUGAAGAACUAACAUGGAUAUGAAAUCAUUCAUCAUAAAGCGUAAAGAACAACCAAGCCAACCAUAUGCAAAGCAUGAAUGGAAUGCAAUGAAGGUGCAAGAGAACAUUUUUGGAUGAACCCAUUAUGAUGAUGGCAAAAUGCGCCGUGCCCCCCAGCCCCCGCGGUGAGAUCCCGCCGCUCGCUGCCGCCAGACCCUAUUAGGCCUCCACCGGCAGGUCCACCCACGGUCCCGCGCGACGUGGCAGCCUCUUGGCUCUCGGCGCUCGCGGCACGCCAGUGCUGGCGCAGCCCCACCAGGCGACUACCCUCCCCCCAUAAGGCCUCGGCCCCUCCCCAGCGCCGCCCCCCAACACCAGGACUGCCUGCUGCCCCCCACCGUGAGGUAAUCGAAAUCGACUGCUCAAUCUCUCAAUCUGUUGAUAUGAUGCACACGGUUGCAAAAAUAGAUGUGUCAAAAUAGAUGUUUUGCCAAUUGCUAUAGAUGCAUACGGUUGACAUGAAGUCAAAAAUGACAUUUGGUUCCUUGUAGGCAGUCAAAAAUGAAGAAGUCAAAAAAUAUUGAUCUGAAAUCAAUGUGGGAAAGGGCUAUGAAGACACGCAGGUAGAUUCCCUUGUGAACUUUUUAUGUCGUUCGUCUAAAUAAUUUUUUGCAAUGGGCAUACCCUACUCUGAAAUCCUGGGUCCGCCACUGAUGAUGAUGGUCUAAAAAUAAACCAAGCCUAGAUUAAUUAGCCACAACUGAAAUUAAGCAAAGGUUAAUGUCAUUGACCCUAGCUCUAUCCUAGCUUUUACCAAAGUUCCGGCACAUAUAGUGGUUGGGCCCACUCUCUCUGCUUCCCUCUCUGCUGCAUGCACGCACACGAGCAACGGGAGGCCCGACGAAGCCCAGAAGGGUUCGGCCGAACCAGUAUGAGCGCCGCUCCCUCCCAGCCUUCGCGCAGAUGCUCCUCCAACGUUCCUUGACCCCUCCCUCAGCGUCCCGUUGGGUUUAACAUUGCAGGAGAGGAGUCCCUUUUUUAAAAUCUCAACCACCUCCUCUCCCCAUUCACUCCACUCUCAUCUCCAUCAAACUCACCAAGAUCCGCACCGGAAAUCCCUGCUUACCACCAUGGCUGGCAAAGCCCUCAUCCCUUUCACCAACUUGGGCUUGACCACUGAUCUCGAUGGGGAAAUCACUCUGGCAAAUAUGCGUGUAACACUGCCCCCUUUGCCGAGGGUUAAAGCCAAAACACUCAGCAAAGUGGAUAGUACCCCCCUUUUUACCCGUUUUGUCAUGUAUAACGGACCCCUCUCAAUUCACAAUAGACAUCAUCAUAGGCAUUUAUAAUAAACAAUCACAGGCAUAAUUCACAAUCACCAUUACAAGCAUUAUUCAUAAAUAUCACAGACAUAAUCCAAAGUAAGCAUGAAACAAGCCAUAAAUCCAAGUUCAAGUCACAACUAAGUUUCAUCCAAGUUCAAGUCACAAAUGCAAUGUCUAAAUCCAUGGAGGCCAAGGAGACCACUGCGACAAAUCUUGGUCUUCAUUAUUCGAAGCCGCCGAUUGAUUCUGCACAUAGGAUAGGACAUUCUGAGCUAACAUCUAAAGUUGUCAAAAUUAAAGUAUUCAAUCUUAAGCACAAUGUGUCAAAUGACUCACAGGAGUAGUUGUGGGUGGCUGAGGCGGAGGGAACAGCAUCGAUGGCGGUGGCAAAGAUUGACCCAUGCUCGAAGCAAAAUUCUGCAUGUACUGGAACAUCUGGUCCAUCCUCAUCCGAUUUUCUUCCUCCAUCCUCUGCCGCUCGGCCUCUAACCUCCGCUGAACCAUCUGCUCCAUCCUCGCCGCCAUCUCCUCUUGUUGCUUCCUUGCUGCUUCCACCUGGGCCUACAAUAUUUCAUUGCAAUGUUACAAUGCAAAGCUAAAGUAUAGCAACCAACGAACAAUGAAUGGAAGAGAAAGAACCUGGAGAGCCUCCAUCUGGAACUGUCCAAUGGUUGGUCGUAGCCGUAUCGCCGGGCUCGAGUCCGUGCUCCUUGCUUGGAUCUGGGAGAGAGUGGCAGUAGAGGCCGUGUUGAUUACGCCGUCGCCAAUCCAAUAUCGGCCAUGCUUCUUGCCUCCUCCCACCCUCAUCACGAUUUCUCCAUCAAUAUCCUCAGAGCUUGAAUCGAAGUCUGGCCCGUGAACCUCCCUUGCCAUCACUGUAUAUUCCUUUGCCGAGUGCCCGAGAUAAAGCACUCGGCAAAUAGAAAACACUCGGCAACUUUACUGUUUCCCGUAGUGUCGCUAUUUUUGCAGGUUCUCGACCAGGCCAGUUCUUUGGGCCAACCUAUCAUUCACGACUUAAACAUACGGUGGCUGUAGAAAUGUUCUAUUCUUUUCAACAAUACCAGCUGGUUCCUCCGUUUUUAUUCCACCAAUACAAGCACCACCUUGUAACAUUUCCUAUGUUUUUUUUUCCUUUCGUCUGUUUUCUACAUGCGUUGCUCUUUCAUGCAUUUUUUUCCAUUCCUGUAUUCCAAAUAGGUCUACAUGAACACAAAAUGAACUAGGGGACAGAAAAAGCCAGUGAAGCCAAUUUUGAGCUUCACCAGCUACUUGCUACAUAAAGUGUGCUAUAGUGACGUGUUUUAGCAAAACAUGUUAUCAAUGACUUGACAUUGGUGACGUGUUAAAACGCGUUAUCUCAAUGGCAAAUCAUUGGUGACGUGUUUUAAAAAAACAUGUCACCGUGAGAGUCAUUGGUGAAGGGUAAUUAUAAUGCGUCACUAAUGUUGUAGCAUUAGUUAUGAUAAUUUAGUAACGCAAAAAUCUACCAUCAGUAUUGAGCUUUAGAGCCAUCGCUAAUGUGGGUUUCUUACAUAGUGAUGCAAGCUCUACAAGGUGCUGUUGCUGCCAUUUUAAAGCAUCCCAUGACUACAUGUUAAUAACAUAGUUUACCAUAUAUCAUAAAAAUAUUAGUUACAAUAAGCACAUACGCAUGUGGAAGAGUCCGAAUGCACCGGUUGAGGACUAAACACAUUGAAUUACUAGAACCAAAUGUGUGUUUAGAACAAAGACAGGGGUCAAGGUUUGGGUAACCGCAUUAAAAACAUUGGAUUUUACUGUACAUGAACACUUAGUUACCAUUACCAUGCCUUGAGCACCUAGUUACAACAAACAUUAAUUUAGCCACUUUAGAGCUUCCAGAAUCGCUAUAAAUAAUAUACCUACGCCGUACCAUGAAAACAUCAAGAAGAGAGACGGAUACAUGGACCACCAUCAAGCGAGUAGUGACAGCACGCACAAGAAUACCCGGAACCUGUUAGCUUGUCUGUAGUGAUCUGUUUUCUUCCCCAUAAAAUCCAUGAGUAUUGCCACAAAUAAUGAAAGAGGCUGACCAAGCUAGCAAGGAGGUAGAGCAAACGUGAUACACGGCCUGCCAAGAUUGCCCUGGAUACGCCAAUAAGAGCGACAGAUACAUGGAUCACACCAAUAUGGUGAAACGUAUAUUCAUCACACAAGCAAAGCUGGUCAGUUUAUCCAUGGUCAAAUUGUGGUCUUUGUUUUCACUUGAGAGCUAAUUGAGGCACUAUAAUAUGGGCAGGCCUAUCUUCAACAGACAUGACAGCUACAGGGAACUUGACAUAAUUUGCUGGGCCGCCUGUGCACAAUUAUUUGUUUUAUUGUCCUUGCAUAGAAUGCUAAAAUACUCUUUACAAAAUGUUGGAUCUAAUAUUUGAAAUAUAGAGUAGUAAUCAUAUAUUGAUCAACAACUUGAAAUUAUCUGUACAUUCUCGGUGAAGCUGUUGAACUAAUUUUUGCAAAUUAUUAAUUCAUCUCAUUACGUAAAGAAAAAAGUAAGUGGAUAAGAUAUUUCGUGGACCACAUCACUGCAAACAUGUCAUGGAGAGACAGACCAAGGAGGCAGGACGUGAUACACGACUUACCCUAGGUUGCCGUGGAACCGCCAAGAAGAGAUACAGAUACAUGGACCACACCAUCUUGGGAGUAGUGACAGCAUAUAUGCAGAAGAAUACCCCGUGCCUAUUUGCAUGCAUGUCUCAAGUGAUCUGUUUUCUUCAGAAAAUACAUGAGCAUUGCCAGAAAGAAUGGCAAGAGACAAACAUGUCAUAGAGACUUGCAUGUCUUGCCUUGGAUACGCCAAGAAGAGGGACACAUACAUGGAUAACACAAAUCUAGUGACACGUAUAUUCAUCACAAAGGCAAAUCUGAUAAUUUUAUCCAUGGAGCAGACCAAGGAGAAAUUGAUGACGGACAUGUGAUCUCUGUAUUCAGUUGAAAGCUAAUUGAGCUACACUAAUAUGAGCAGGACUAUAUUCAAGAGACUUGUUGAGAGCUACAGGGAACUUGUAAUAAUUUGCUGGGCGGCCUGCGCACAAUGAUUUGUUAUACAUAGUUGAAAUAUUUCAAGAAUUUAUCAACCUCAUACUCUGAAACCCUUGGUGCAAUGUACUCUGCUUUCCGAGGUAGACUGUUCACGUAAAAUGAGGUCAUGCGUAAGACGGAAUCGGAUUGGAUUCACAGGGAAUCAGAUUUGGAUAGCACCUUUUAGCAGGUUUUUAGUCAAAUGCAAAUUCGGAUCCACAUGUGGUUGAAUGCGAGUUCAAAAUUCUACUUGGAUAUCCAUUUAAUUUAGGUGAUAGCAAUUAGCACAAAAUGUUGGAUGAACAAAAUCAUAGUUAGACAUACAAUUACAUGUAUGGUUAAAGUAUAAUACAAUACACCAAGAUUAUUCCUUGAAAAUAUUUCUUAAAAAUAUUAUAAUAAAUGAAUAAAUAUAAUUGUGGCCACCAACAAAUAGUCGGUGGUCGCUAAGUUGGAGCCAUUUCUGGUUACUAAUGCGGCCUUCUCCUCGACCAGCGACGACAGCUGAGCUUGUUCCUUCUGACACUAAAUCAUCAGAGUCUUCCCUCCACUACUAUAGAAUGCACCUUUAGCACCAAUUGGGAAAUCCCCUUCAGUAUUGGAUGCUGCAACCAGUGCUAUAUAUCAAAAUGGAGACUAAAAGCCUCGGUCUUGGGUACCGGUUGCAUAACGCAUUACUAAAGGAGGCAAAAGAGAAAUGUAACAAAAAAAAUAUUUUGAAUUCCAAGAAUGUUUCACUAUUCAAGAUGACUAGCUGAGAGUCAACAGACAAGAUACUAGGAAUGUGGGUGCUUGAAUGCAUUUGUACAGAGGUCAUACUAUUUACAAACUCUUCUAUGUUUCCAUAUGACUACCUACUUCAAUGUCACGCGAGCCAUUCAGCUGGACACAUGGCACACUAGCUUGCAUGUCGAAUCCAUGAUUAAUUAUUUCCACUUGUGAUCUCUUACCAGUAUUUGUCCAGACUAGAAACGUGCAACACAUUUUUAGGAUAUGGACACGCAUAUAUUUGGACUAGUAUACAGGUCACCUUUGGAUGCGUACAAGGAUGACCGGGAGGGACUAGAAAUGGUCUAGUUUUGAUUGGACUACAAAACUUUUUGUACAGUGAAUAGAGAAUAUAUAUUAUUGUUGGAAUACGAGGUAGGCUACACUAUCGCAAUUCUGAUAUUCUACCGCGUAUAACCAAGAAGAACUGUCGUAUAAGGAUCACGGGAUUACCACUCGACGCACUACUGGUGCGGAAGAUGUAGAUAUGCGUCGAUGCAGUGAAGACGAUCACGUAGUCGUAUGUAGUCGAUCAACGUAGUCGUACAUAGUCGAUCACGUCCAGCAGCUCCUCAGCAGCUCGUCCACGUGCAGCAAGAUCGCCUCCGGUACCGCGGCUCGUCGUUGGCUUGUCGUGGCUCGUCGACGGCUCGUCGGCGGCUCGUCCAAGUGCUGCAGGCGCAACACCUCCAAGGUAUCCACACGUGCAGGGAGGAAGCGUCGCAAGCCGGACUGCUAGAUCCACGAGUUGCAACAGGCGAGGGCGUGGGAGGCGCGGCAGGUGUGUUUCGCCAAAAAGGUGUAAACCCUAGGGCGCCCCCACCCCUCUAUUUAUAGAGGUUCCUGACGGGCCUCUGGAUCCGAGGCCCAUUAGUACUUCUAAACCUAAUCCAACUCGGAUCAGAUCCGAAUUGGGCUUCCAGCCCCUUAAGUGUGUGACCCUAUAAGUUCGGAUACGUAUAGACAUGGCCCGAGUACUCCUACUCGGCCCAAUAGUCGGUAGCGGCCUCUAGCAAGACGUGCCAACUCCUAUACGCACACGAAGAUCAUAUCAGACGAACCAUCACAACAUAAUAUACAUGCUAUUCCCUUUGCCUCACGAUAUUUGGUCUAGCUUCAAGCCGACCGCUCUUUCUCAGUCCUGUGAUUCGGAAUCCCUUUGUAGGUUAACUCUUAACCGUACGUAGCAUGGCCAUGCAUUUUCGGAUCUGAUCACUCGAGGGGCCCAGAGAUAUCACUCUCAAUCAGAGAGGGGCAAAUCCCAUCUUGAUUGACCAUGUCUCAUAGCAUGCUUCUUGACAAACCUAAAAACUACCUUUAUAACUUCCCUGUUACGGCGUAGUGUUUGAUAGCUCCUAAGUAGGUCGAUCCACAUCUAGAAUACAUGCGACAAUUUCAGGUCUAAGGACAAAGCGUAUAUGUUGUUUAAAGAGAGAACUACUUCUCGUGUUGGGUCAGUCCCAGCACAUGUCUCCACAUGUGUCCACAUUAUUAGUUCAACAUCUCCAUGUCCAUGACUUGUGAAACAUAGUCAUCAACUAAUACAUGUGCUAGUCUAAUAUUCAUGUGUGUCCUCACAUGAACUCCGACUAGGGACAACUUUAGAAUAACCAUACAAGUAAAGAGUUUCACAUACAAUUCACAUAAUUGCAAAUCAAUUCAAGUAGCCUUCAAUGGAUAUUCAAUGAACACAACAUACAAAUCAUGGAUACAAAUGGAAUAUCAUCAUCUCUAUGAUUGCCUCUAGGGCAUACCUCCAACAGUCUCCCACUUGCACUAGAGUCAAUCUAGAAGGUACCUAAUACCCAUAGCUCUUACAUGCGCAUCAUGCUUAGCCUGCGGGAGUGGUUUUGUCAACGGAUCAGAAAUGUUCAGAUCCGUGUGUAUUUUGCAUAUCUUGAUCUCACCCCGGUUAACGAAGUCUCGAAUGAGAUGAAAUCGCCGCAUUACAUGUUUGUUCUUCUGGUGGUUCCUUGGCUCCUUUGCUUGCGCAAUUGCCCCAUUGUUAUCACAGUAGAGAUUCAAUGGGCUGGACCCAUUCGGGAACACACCAAGCUCAAUGAGGAAAUUCCUUAUCCAAACACCUUCCUUCGCGGCUUCCGAAGCCGCGAUGUACUCGGCUUCUGUCGUAGAAUCGGCCACCGUCUCCUGCUUGGAACUCUUCCAACUAACAGCACCACCAUUUAGCGUGAACACAAAUCCUGUUUGUGACUUUGAAUCAUCUCUGUCGGUUUGGAAACUAGCAUCGGUGUAACCUGUUACAACGAGCUCCUCCUCACCUCCAUAGACGAGGAAUAUAUCUUUAGUCCUUCUCAAGUACUUAAGAAUGUUUUUCACCGCUGUUCAGUGACUCUCACCUGGAUCAGAUUGGUGUCUGCUUGUCAUACUUAGCACAUAUGAAACAUCUGGGCGAGUACUUAUCAUUGCAUACAUGAUAGAUCCAAUAGCCGAGGCAUAUGACACUCUACUCAUGUGAUCCCGCUCAUCAGCAGUCGAAGGACACUGAGUCUUGCUGAGAUGUAUGCCAUGUGACAUAGGCAAGAACCCUUCCAUGCUGAACCGCUUCAACACUUUGUCAAUGUAAGUAUCUUGGCUUAAACCUAUAAGCCUUCUCGAUCUAUCUCUAUAGAUCUUAAUGCCCAGAAUAUAUGCCGCUUCCCCUAAGUCCUUCAUCGAAAAACUAUUUUUCAGUGAAGUCUUUAUGGACUCAAGCAUAGGAAUGUUAUUUCCAAUCAGUAAUAUGUCAUCCACAUAUAAGAUUAGAAAUACUACAGAGCUCCCACUAACCUUCUUGUAAACACAAGACUCUUCUUCGUUCUUGGUGAAGUCAAACCCUUUGACCACUUCAUCAAAACGAAUGUUCCAACUCCUAGAUGCUUGCUUCAAUCAAUAAAUGGAUCUCUGAAGCUUGCAUACCUUUCCAGCAUUUUUCGGAUCGACAAAACCCUUGGACUGUAUCAUAUACACGUCCUCAGUUAGGUUUCCAUUCAGGAAAGCUGUCUUGACAUCCAUCUGCCAUAUCUCAUAAUCGAAAUAUGCAGCCAAACUUGAUUGUCUCCCAUGGACUCUAUUUCGGAUUGCAUGGCAUUCUGCCAUUUUUCGGAGUCUGGGUCCAUCAUUGCUUCUGCAUAUGUCACAGGCUCAUCAUUGUCCAACAAUAAUAUUUCCUGCAUUUCGCGGAGCCUUGCCGACCUUCGUGGUUGUGGCGGUGCUUCUCUUGCCAUGGGUAUCUCAACUUGUUCUGCUACGUUAGCAUCACUCAUUGAUUCUUGCCCGAUCGGCUCAUCUUGAACUUCUUCAAGAUGCACUGUCUUUCCACUCUUUUCUCCUUUGAGAAACUCUUUCUCUAGGAAAACCCCGUUCCGAGCGACAAACACUUUGCCUUCUGAUCAGUUGUAAAAAUAAUAUCCCAAAGUUUCCUUUGGAUAUCCCACGAAAAUGCACUUAUCCGACUUGGGUGCGAUCUUGUCCGACUGAAGUCGCUUGACAAACACAUCACAUCCCCAAAUCUUUAGAAAAGACAAACUAGGAACCUUUCCAGUCCAUAUCUCAUAUGGUGUCUUAACUACGGAUUUAGAUGGUACCCUAUUAAGUGUGAAAGCUGCUGUUUCUAGAGCGUAUCCCCAAAAUGACAACGGUAGGUCCGACUGGCUCAUCAUUGAUCGAACCAUGUCUAACAAAGAUCGAUUACGUCGCUCGGACACACCGUUUCUCUGAGGUGAUCCAGGCGGCGUAAGUUGUGGAACAAUUCCGCAACUCUUUAGAUGAUUGCUAAACUUGUGGCUCAAAUACUCGCCUCCACGAUCAGAUUGUAAGGCCUUAAUUUUCUUGACACGCUAAUUUUCAACUUCAUUCUGAAAAUCCUUGAACUUUUCAAAGGUUUCAGACUUGUGCCUCAUCAAGUAGACAUAGCCAUAUCUACUAAAAUCAUCAGUGAAAGAUAUGAAGUAUUGGAAUCCUCCUCUAGCCGUCGUGCUCAUUGGUCCGCAUACAUCACUAUGUACGAGUUCCAACAAGUCUACUGCUCUCUCAGGAAAUCCUGUGAAAGACGUCUUGGUCAUCUUGCCUAGCAAGCAAGCCUCACAUGUCUCGUAUGAUUCAAAAUCAAACGAAGUUAGAAGUCCAUCAGAAUGGAGCUUCUUCAUGCGUUUUUCACUUAUAUGACCCAAACGACAAUGCCACAAGUAGGUAGGACUCAAAUCAUUAGGCCGAGGCCUUUUAGCACUUACAUUACAGACAGGUGAACCAUCAAGAUUUAAAACAAAUAAUCCAUUCACAAUGGGUGCAAAAGCCAUAAACAUAUUAUUCUUAGAGAUCACACAACCAUUGUUUUCACUCGCAAAUGAAUAACCAUCCUUCAUCAAGCAUGAAGGAGACAAAAUGUUUCGACUUAAACUAGGAACAAAAUAACAAUUAUUCAACUCCAUAAUAAAUGCUGACGGGAGGUGGAGUUGCAUCGUCCCGACGGUCAACGCAGCAACUCUUGCAUUAUUGCCCACGCGGAAAUCAACUUCUCCUCUUUCCACGCUUCUACUUCUUAUCAUUCCCUGCAUCGAAUUGCAAAUAUGAGCAACCGAUCCGGUAUCAAAUACCCAAGAAUUAAUAAUUGUAUCAGCGAGAAAUAUGUUGUCUAUGACAUUAACAACAAGCGUACCUGAGGUAGAAGUACUCUUACUUCCUCCAUUCUUCAACGAAGCUAGGUACUGCUUGCAGUUUCUCUUCCAGUGACCAAGUUCAUGACAGUAAAAGCACUCUUUGUCUGGAGCAGGUCCAGGUCCAGCUUUAACCUUGGGCGCUCGCUGGGUUUGGCUUGGAAAUUCCAGCCUUGCCCUUCUUCUUCCAAGAAUUGCCCUUCUUCUUAAAGCUAGGCUUGUUCUGUAUAGCCAUCACAUGGCUAGUACAAGCGCUUUUCUUGAUGUCUACCUCUGCUGUCUUGAGCAUACCACACAGUUCAUUCAAACCCUUCUCCGUCCCAUGCAUAUGGUAGUUCGAGAUGAAGUUCCCAUAGCUAGGCGGAAGAGAUGAAAGAAUGAAGUCAGUGGCCAACUCUUUGCCCAUUGGGAAGCCCAGCUUCUCCAAUCGCUGAGUGUAACCAACCAUGUUGAUUACAUGUGGUCCUACUGCUGCGUCUUCUGCUAGCUUGCACUCCAGAAAAGCUUUGGACACAUUGAACCUUUCAGUCCUAGCCUGUGUCUGGAACAUGUCCUUGAGCGCCACGAUCAUAUCGUGUGCCUCAUGAUUUGUUUCGAACUGCAUCUGCAGCUCGGGUUCCAUGCAAGCAAGCAUAAGGCAGCUUACCUCAAGAUUAGCAUCAAAUGCCUUCUUGUAAGCAGCCUUAACGGCAGCAGAUGCAUCAUCAGCAGGUACUGGUGGUAGUGGGGUAUCUAGAACAUCUUCCUUUUUAUCGGCCCUGAGAACAAUUCUCAGGUUACGGAUCCAAUCCGAGUAGUUUGUUCCAUUCAACUUGUCCUUCUCAAGGACCGAGCGCAAAGCAAACGAUGUGGUGGUGUUGCUAGGUGCCAUUUAAUCUACAACAAAAGUAAUGCAAAAUACACUAAGACAAACGUAUCCAUGAUAGAGCAAAUUACAUUAAACUAUUUUAACAGAAUCUACUCCCACUAAAAUCAAUAUCCCUCUAUUGAAACUUAGUGAUUCAGGAUCCACAACUAACAAGUCUACUAGUGAGCUUUAGCAUCACCGCUAGCAAACGAGGUAGAUCGGUAAGCAACUUUUGCUAAUCAUAUCACAUAUGACUCCUGUUGUUGGGUGACAUCUCCAUGUCUCGGCGCCCAACCAUUAUGCCCCAAGGUCCUUAACCGUUAAGAUGACCUCGUUAAGCAAACCAACCCUUAUGCGUGUAAGUGUCCGACACAAACCCGUCUAGUCAAGGAAAACUAGUGGCACCCUAAUUUCAUAGACCCACCACUAAUUGUACAAGACAUGGGACGGUGCAAGUUUUAGUUGGGAGGGCAUACUAACUUAAAUUUUUUGUGAGGGAUCGUUCUACUUCUAACAUCACAGCAUGCAGAAAGUAAAACAUAAACAGAAUAGCAUUCACACAGCUGUGACACAGUAUGGCCCGUUUUUAUAUGGUGAUCUCCAUCUCCAUAGAACCUGUUCACCAUGGUGAUCUCCAUCUCCAUGUUCCAUGUGCGCCAUCCUCCUGGUGAGGAGUCCUCCAAGAACUAGAACAUGCUAUUACACCUAAUAGCUAGUAAAGAAUCUAGUAAUGAAGAUUACAUAGUUGCUUGGAUCAUCACAGAUUGGUACGCAGACCAUUAAAUACAAUAAAGUGACAACACAUAUGGCUCCUGCCGUGUUGCCGUACGCGCGACACGCAGGUCACGAAUGAGUUACACACAUGCAUCACAUACACAAGGGGGCCAUACUGAUCACAAGAUACAUACAUACAUCCUGCAAAACAGAGUUAGGCGUCCUAACGUUCCAAACUUCGAAGGCCCGAAACUCCAUCUUCCAAGCCGAAUUUGGGAAAUCUAAUUUUGCCGAAAACGGCAAAGCGGUUGAAUUUCAUGUGUAACUUUUUCUGUAGAUCAAUUUUCAUAUAAAAUUCGCCCCGAUCCGAGAUCGUACCGAAAAGUUACGGCUGAUUUACCGAAGCAUACGCAUACGGCAAAAAUUCCGACCCCGGCAGUAGAUCCCAUCUACUAUUGCACAUCUAAUGCGCCUGGCGUAUGAUCCUGGAUUUCGAUUCGACCAAUCAUAUUGAUCUUCGCUCACUGCAACUGGAAUUACGUGUAUCACUUAACUCGUCGGCGGCUCGUCGGCGGCUCAUCCAAGUGCUGCAGGCCCAACACCUCCAAGGUAUCCACACGUGCAGGGAGGAAGCGUCGCAAACCGGACUGCUAGAUCCGCGAGUUGCAAUAGGCGAGGGCGUGGGAGGCGCCGCAGGUGUGUUUCGCCAAAAAGAUGUAAACCCUAGGGCGCCCCCACCCCUCUAUUUAUAGAGGUUCCUGACGGGCCUCUGGAUCCGAGGCCCAUUAGUACUUCUAAACCUAAUCCAACUCGGAUCAGAUCCGAAUUGGGCUUCCAGCCCCUUAAGUGUGUGACCCUAUGGGUUCGGAUACGUAUAGACAUGGCCCGAGUACUCCUACUCGGCCCAAUAGUCGGUAGCGGCCUCUAGCAAGACGUGCCAACUCCUAUACACACACGAAGAUCAUAUCAGAUGAACCAUCACAACAUAAUAUACAUGCUAUUCCCUUUGCCUCACGAUAUUUGGUCUAGCUUCAAGCCGACCGCUCUUUCUCAAUCCUGUGAUUCGGAAUCCCUUUGUAGGUUAACUCUUAACCGUACGUAGCAUGGCCAUGCAUUUUCGGAUCCGAUCACUCGAGGGGCCCAGAGAUAUCACUCUCAAUCAGAGAGGGGCAAAUCCCAUCUUGAUUGACCAUGUCUCAUAGCAUGCUUCUUGACAAACCCGAAAACUACCUUUAUAACUACCCUGUUACGGCGUAGCAUUUGAUAGCCCCUAAGUAGGUCGAUCCACAUCUAGAAUACAUGCGACAAUCUCAGGUCUAAGGACAAAGCGUAUAUGUUGUUUAAAGAGAGAACUACUUCUCGUGUUGGGUCAGUCCCAGCACAUGUCUCCACAUGUGUCCACAUUAUUAGUUCAACAUCUCCAUGUCCAUGACUUGUGAAACAUAGUCAUCAACUAAUACAUGUGCUAGUCUAAUAUUCAUGUGUGUCCUCACAUGAACUCCGACUAGGGACAACUUUAGAAUAACCAUACAAGUAAAGAGUUUCACAUACAAUUCACAUAAUUGCAAAUCAAUUCAAGUAGCCUUCAAUGGAUAUUCAAUGAACACAACAUACAAAUCAUGGAUACAAAUGGAAUAUCAUCAUCUCUAUGAUUGCCUCUAGGGCAUACCUCCAACAAUUAUUUCAUGUAAAUUUUUGACAAUUUUUUAAAAUUGUUUGAUAUUUUUUAAAUUUUUUUUAAAAUAACUUUGCCGAGUGUCCUAUUGUAGACACUCGGCAAAGCAGCCUUCACCGAGUGUUACCCCUGGGACACUCGGCGAAUUAAUGCCCGGCCGCUCAAGAAUAUGUGCCCGGCCCCCUCACUCUCCCGGCCCCCCUCACUCUCACUCCCCUCACUCCCUCCUCUCUCCCUCCUCUCUCCCUCUCGCCGCCGCCCGAAACCCCCGCCGCCGCCCGCCGCCCGGCAUGCCGCCCAGCGCCCCCCGCCGCCGCCCGGCGCUCCCGAAUCCGCCGCCGCCCGCCCGGCGCCCGGCCCCCGGAUCCGCCGCCGCCGGCCGCCCGGCGCCCCCGGAUUCGCCGCCGCCCGCCCGGCCCCCGGCCCCCGGAUCAGCCGCCGCCCGCCGCCCGGCGCACGGCGCCCCCGGAUCCGCCGCCGCCUGCCCGGCGCCCGGCCCCUGGCCCCCUGAUCCGCCGCCGCCCGCCCGGAUCCGCCGCCGCCCGCCCGGCGCCCGGCCCCCGGCCCCCGGAUCCACCGCCGCCCCCCCGGCCCCCGGAUCCGCCGCCCGCCCGUCCCCUCCACCGGAUCCGCCGGCGCCGGGGCCUGAAGAGAAGAGAAGAGGAGAGGAUGGUGGCGGCGGCGGCCGCGGCGGCGGAGCAGGUGGCAGAGCAUGCAUGAUUUUUUUUUAUUUUUUCAAUAAUUGUUCGCCAAGUGUUUUCUGGGCACUCGGCAAAGUCUUUGCCGAGUGCCCGACACAAAACACUCGGCGAACCAGUGUUUGCCGUCAAGAUUUUUGCCGUGUGUCGUUUGCCGAGUGUUACACUCGGCAAACGCUUUGUCGAGUGUUUUUGGGGUUUCGCGGAGUGACCCUGGCACUCGGCAUCACGCAUGUUUCCCUUAGUGAACUUGAAAUUAUCUGUACAUUCUCGGUGAAGCUGUUGAACUAAUUUUUGCAAAUUAUUAAUUCAUCUCAUUACGCAAAGAAAAAAGUAAGUGGAUAAGAUAUUUCGUGGACCACAUCACUGCAAACAUGUCAUGGAGAGACAGACCAAGGAGGCAGGACGUGAUACACGACUUACCCUAGGUUGCCGUGGAACCGCCAAGAAGAGAUACAGAUACAUGGACCACACCAUCUUGGGAGUAGUGACAGCAUAUAUGCAGAAGAAUACCCCGUGCCUAUUUGCAUGCAUGUCUCAAGUGAUCUGUUUUCUUCAGAAAAUACAUGAGCAUUGCCAGAAAGAAUGGCAAGAGACAAACAUGUCAUAGAGACUUGCAUGUCUUGCCUUGGAUACGCCAAGAAGAGGGACACAUACAUGGAUAACACAAAUCUAGUGACACGUAUAUUCAUCACAAAGGCAAAUCUGAUAAUUUUAUCCAUGGAGCAGACCAAGGAGAAAUUGAUGACGGACAUGUGAUCUCUGUAUUCAGUUGAAAGCUAAUUGAGCUACACUAAUAUGAGCAGGACUAUAUUCAAGAGACUUGUUGAGAGCUACAGGGAACUUGUAAUAAUUUGCUGGGCGGCCUGCGCACAAUGAUUUGUUAUACAUAGUUGAAAUAUUUCAAGAAUUUAUCAACCUCAUACUCUGAAACCCUUGGUGCAAUGUACUCUGCUUUCCGAGGUAGACUGUUCACGUAAAAUGAGGUCAUGCGUAAGACGGAAUCGGAUUGGAUUCACAGGGAAUCAGAUUUGGAUAGCACCUUUUAGCAGGUUUUUAGUCAAAUGCAAAUUCGGAUCCACAUGUGGUUGAAUGCGAGUUCAAAAUUCUACUUGGAUAUCCAUUUAAUUUAGGUGAUAGCAAUUAGCACAAAAUGUUGGAUGAACAAAAUCAUAGUUAGACAUACAAUUACAUGUAUGGUUAAAGUAUAAUACAAUACACCAAGAUUAUUCCUUGAAAAUAUUUCUUAAAAAUAUUAUAAUAAAUGAAUAAAUAUAAUUGUGGCCACCAACAAAUAGUCGGUGGUCGCUAAGUUGGAGCCAUUUCUGGUUACUAAUGCGGCCUUCUCCUCGACCAGCGACGACAGCUGAGCUUGUUCCUUCUGACACUAAAUCAUCAGAGUCUUCCCUCCACUACUAUAGAAUGCACCUUUAGCACCAAUUGGGAAAUCCCCUUCAGUAUUGGAUGCUGCAACCAGUGCUAUAUAUCAAAAUGGAGACUAAAAGCCUCGGUCUUGGGUACCGGUUGCAUAACGCAUUACUAAAGGAGGCAAAAGAGAAAUGUAACAAAAAAAAUAUUUUGAAUUCCAAGAAUGUUUCACUAUUCAAGAUGACUAGCUGAGAGUCAACAGACAAGAUACUAGGAAUGUGGGUGCUUGAAUGCAUUUGUACAGAGGUCAUACUAUUUACAAACUCUUCUAUGUUUCCAUAUGACUACCUACUUCAAUGUCACGCGAGCCAUUCAGCUGGACACAUGGCACACUAGCUUGCAUGUCGAAUCCAUGAUUAAUUAUUUGCACUUGUGAUCUCUUACCAGUAUUUGUCCAGACUAGAAACGUGCAACACAUUUUUAGGAUAUGGACACGCAUAUAUUUGGACUAGUAUACAGGUCACCUUUGGAUGCGUACAAGGAUGACCGGGAGGGACUAAUGGAUACAAGGAAGGGACCAUCAGGAUUAAUAUUGACAUAUGCCACAUGACAAUCUUCAUUGUCAUGCAAUCCCUAUCAACAAUCAUGGAAUCCCUAGUGUACUAAUCCCUGGAGGGUUGUGUGGAAAUUUAUUUUACCUUGCGGUGAAAAUCUCAUGAGCAGUCAUUAGUUAAGCUGACUAGCUGAGAUAUAAUAGACAAGCUAGUAAGAUUGGGAGCAUCAAUGCAUCCAUACAGGGUCACAAUAUCCUUUCCAUUCACUUUUAUAUAUAACCCUACGAAUACAAGUCCAACGAAAUGCGGGCCUUUCGAUCAAGAUAAAUUAAAUGGCCCACUUGUAUUUCUAAUCCAGGAUUAACUAUGCCCUCUGUUCAUCUCUUGCAAGCACGUGCAACACAUUUUCACGAUAUGGACAUGCAUGGAGGUUAUUAUACUGUUUGGACAAACUCUGAUGUGCCAUGACCUAAAUGCUUAGGGCCUGUUUGGUUUGAGUUGCUUAUUAUAAGCAACUUAAAGUUGCUUAAAGUUGCUUAUUUGAAGUUGCUUAUUUUUAGUCUAAACUGUUUGGAUACCCUUGCUUAUGAGCAUUGAAUGAGUUGGACAUUGUCAAAUUUGCCCCAUGUGUUGCUACCCCUCCAAUUUGCCUCCCCACCCUUCUUCUUCCUGCACACGUCCGAUCCCGGGGGCCGACGGCGGGCAGGGAGCAGCAGCAGCUGGCCAGGGCGGCGGUGGGGCGGGAGCGGCGGCGCACACCAGCACGCGCUCGCACGCCAGGUGCUAGGGCGCGGCGAGGCAGUCGUCGUAGCCCACCGGGAGCGGGUGCUCGGGCGCGAGGCGGUACUCGACGGAGAUGCCGAGCGUCGGGCGCGCGGCGGCGAGCGCGUUGAGGAAGCGAUGGUAGUGCGGCGACGUCGCGGACUCCGCCACGAAGCCGCCGCCGUGGACGUACACCACCACGGGCAGCUUCGUCUUGCCGUCGGCGGCCGCGGCCGCGGCCUGGGGUGGCAGGUAGAGGCGGACGGAGCAGGAGCCGAGGUCGACGUCCCUGGAGUCGACGCCCGUGGCGGCGUCCAGGCUAGGCCCGACCGGCGGCGGCACGAGCGGGCGCUCGAUGCGGCCGCUCUUGUAAAUCCGACGGGUCUGUGCGGAGGCGGGCGGCGGGCGGGAGCGGCGGGUGGGAGCGGCGGCAGGUGGUGCGGAGGCCGGCGGCGGCGGGUGGCGCGGAGGAAGGGGAGCUGGUGAGUGGUGACAGGGGAGGGGGGGAGAGAGAGGGGGGGGUAGGGUGCAUUGAAUGAGGGCAGGAGGUGUAAAGUGCACCUUUUAGUCCCCAUGAGCAACCAUAAGCAGCCCAAGAGUUGCUUAUUUGCUUAUAAUAAGCAACCUCAUAAGCAAGAGUGAUUGGUUUCAUAAGCAACUUAUUUGCUUAUUUUAAGUUGCUUAUGCAUAAGCAUGUGAAACCAAGCAGGUCCUUAACCUAUGGUUGUGGCACCACACAGUACAUAGUAUUUAAUAAUGCUAUUCGUUUGGUAUGUGCACAAGGGCACGCAUGAAAUGUCUGGCCCACGGUAAACAAGUACGGACGCUGCAAAUAAUCUACUCUGCUCGUCCAGUCCCUAGCCUAUAAAUAGAUGCCAUGCUAGCUCUUGUUGUGCUCACAAUUAAUCCUGACUACACACGAGCUUCUCUCCCUGGCCAAGACACAAUCAUAGUAUGAUGAAGAACAUGGCACUAGCCGGCAAUGGUAUGAAGAACUUAAUCCUCGCUGUUCUCUUACUGUGUCUAGUUAUAGGGCAGAUACAAGUGGAAGCUAAGAGCUGCUGCCCAUCCAUUACUGCAAGAAAUAUCUACAAUGCCUGCCGUAUCACGGGUACAUCCCGUCCAACGUGUGCAAAACUGUCAGGCUGCAAAAUUAUCAGCGGGGACAAAUGCAAGCCCCCUAACGACCACCUCACCCUUGACCCGGACACUGGUAAAUAAUAAAUUUAUCUCACUUGAUUUCUUCGUGUUUUGAGUCGUUAAUGUAUUUUCCAUCUGAUGAAACGUAUUGGUUUUGCAUUGAAGAGGAAGUUAAUGUGCUUAACUUCUGCAAGUUGGGGUGUGCGUCGUCUGUGUGCAACAACAUCAACGCUGGUAAGCACCUUUUGCUCAGACGGAGAAAACAAUAAUCAUUAAUUAGCGGCAGCUAGAAUCCUAUAAUCUAAUAUAUUUAUAUAUAUAUAUAAUUUUAUCAGCUCUGGGAAAUGAAGAGGCGAACGAUGCCGUUGAGAGUUGCGACCAAGCCUGCUCUAGCUUCUGCAACGUGCACGUUGGCGCUGCCACCGUGGUUGCUUAAGCAAAUGCAUCCAACUGGAUCGUCCUUGUGCUAAAUAAUUGGAUAUCGUAUCCACUUAAAGCUGCCUUGUGUAGUACGUUUUUGUUUGUGUCUCUCUUUAUAUUCCAAUAAGGUCGGUGAUCUUGAUGCCACACACUCAGACGUGUGUUCAUCUCCAGAUACUACUCCAUGCUACCUGCCCUUUGUGUUUUGUUCAAUAACUGGGUAUCAU
rnacentral:lncRNA from 1 species